UACGUAGGGUGCAAGCGUUAAUCGGAAUUACUGGGCGUAAAGCGUGCGCAGGCGGCUUUGCAAGUCAGAUGUGAAAUCCCCGGGCUUAACCUGGGAACUGCAUUUGUGACUGCAAGGCUAGAGUACGGUAGAGGGGGAUGGAAUUCCGCGUGUAGCAGUGAAAUGCGUAGAUAUGCGGAGGAACACCGAUGGCGAAGGCAAUCCUCUGGACCUGUACUGACGCUCAUGCACGAAAGCGUGGGGAGCAAACAGG
rnacentral:rRNA from 1 species